rnacentral:lncRNA from 1 species
UUUUAACUCCUGACAGACUGGGACAUGCCCAUUCACUUUCUCACAGGCAGAAGAGUAGAAAUUGGGAACAAGUGAUAGCAUGGAUCAGGCCCUCCAACAGAUCUGCACUAAGGUCUCUGAGGGUGCAGCAUCACAACUGGUGAGAGGGAAGAAUCUGCAUGAGAGAAAGGAUGACAGAUUCUCAAAUCUUCCAAGGAGUAGAUUUUCAAAAGCAGAUACAAACACCUGCACUGAAGAAAACUUCUCUGGACUAUCACAAUGGCAAAACUGAUGCACUUUCUGAAAAUGAUUUCUUACAAAAGUCAAUCUGUAGUACACAUGUGGUGCAGCAGCACAGCAGCAACCCACCUCUGUUUCCCUGGGGACAGAAAAGUGCUACAGGAGCAUCACCGGUUUAUCUGGCACACAGGGA